CUAGUAAUCGCGCAUCAGCCACGGCGCGGUGAAUACGUUCCCGGGCCUUGUACACACCGCCCGUCAAGCCAUGGGAGCCGGGGGUACCUGAAGUGCGUAACCGCGAGGAGCGCCCUAGGGUAAAACUGGUGACUGGGGCUAAGUCGUAACAAGGUAAC
rnacentral:rRNA from 1 species